CAGAGGGGGCAAGCGUUGUUCGGAAUUACUGGGCGUAAAGGGCGCGUAGGCGGCCUGCUAAGUCGAACGUGAAAUCCCUGGGCUCAACCCAGGAACUGCGUCCGAUACUGGUUGGCUUGAAUCCGGGAGAGGGAUGUGGAAUUCCAGGUGUAGCGGUGAAAUGCGUAGAUAUCUGGAGGAACACCGGUGGCGAAGGCGACAUCCUGGACCGGUAUUGACGCUGAGGCGCGAAAGCCAGGGGAGCAAAACGGGAUUAGAUACCCCGGUAGUCCUGGCCCUAAACGAUGAAUGCUUGGUGUGGCGGGUAUCGAUCCCUGCCGUGCCGAAGCUAACGCAUUAAGCAUUCCGCCUGGGGAGUACGGUCGCAAGGCUG
rnacentral:rRNA from 1 species